rnacentral:lncRNA from 1 species
AGUAUAUUGCACUCAGCUCAGGUGCUUAAGAAGCUCUCAUCUUAAGACAUGUAAAUAUACAUUUAACUUCCUUAAGAAGUAGUUAUCGGUUCAGUAAACUAGUCACUAGGAAUUAUGCCAUACUAAAAAUCAAGCAAUGUUUGGAUUUUGAAUUAUAAACUGUUUCUUAAAAAAUAUUUUAUGCUAAUUACUUUUAUUCUGAGGAAUCUUAAAAUAGUUUAUCUGCUUCCCCUUAGUUAAUAGAAUACACAGGGUUAUAAAUUCCCAUACCUUUUUCCCUACCAAUUUUCAUUAUAAAAGCAACUGGUUGUUACCCAAACAGUAUAAAAGUUCAAUUUUUUCAUAAAGAUGAACUUAAAAUUUUCUCUGAUUGAUAUAUGAAAAUAAACCAAUUUUUAGAGGAACUUAUUCACAAAUAACUAUUACAGGAUCUUUGGAUCAAUGGGAUUAAAAAUAGAAGAGGUAUAGCUGACAAUCAUGUGUCAUUUCAACUUUUUCCCCCCACACUAAAAGUAACCUAACUCUGAGGGGU